GACAGAGGUGCAAACGUUGCUCGGAAUCACUGGCGUAAAGGCGUGUAGGCGGAAGGUAAGUCGGCGUGAAAUCCCUGGCUCAACCCAGGAACUGCACUCGAAACUACUUUCUUGAGUGCCGGAGAGGAAAGCGGAAUUCCUGGUGUAGAGGUGAAAUUCGUAGAUAUCAGGAGGAACACCAGUGGCGAAGGCGGCUUUCUGGACGGUAACUGACGCUGAGAACGCGGAAAGCCGUGGGAGCAAACAGG
rnacentral:rRNA from 1 species